ACGGGAGGCAGCAGUGGGGGAUAUUGCACAAUGGGGGAAACCCUGAUGCAGCGACGCCGCGUGGAGGAAGAAGGUUUUCGGAUUGUAAACUCCUGUCGUGUAGGACGAUAAUGACGGUACUACACAAGAAAGCCACGGCUAACUACGUGCCAGCAGCCGCGGUAAAACGUAGGUGGCAAGCGUUGUCCGGAAUUACUGGGUGUAAAGGGAGCGCAGGCGGUUUGGUAAGUUGGAAGUGAAAUCUAUGGGCUCAACCCAUAAACUGCUUUCAAAACUGCUGAACUUGAGUAGUGCAGAGGUAGGCGGAAUUCCCGGUGUAGCGGUGGAAUGCGUAGAUAUCGGGAGGAACACCAGUGGCGAAGGCGGCCUACUGGGCACCAACUGACGCUGAGGCUCGAAAGCGUGGGUAGCAAACAGGAUUAGAUACCCUGGUA
rnacentral:rRNA from 1 species